UACGGGGGAGGUAAGCGUUGUUCGGAAUUACUGGGCGUAAAGGGCUCGUAGGCGGCCAACUAAGUCAGACGUGAAAUCCCUCAGCUUAACUGGGGAACUGCGUCUGAUACUGGAUGGCUUGGAUUCGGGAGAGGAAUGCGGAAUUCCAGGUGUAGCGGUGAAAUGCGUAGAUAUCUGGAGGAACACCGGUGGCGAAGGCGGCAUUCUGGACCGAUAUUGACGCUGAGGAGCGAAAGCCAGGGGAGCAAACGGG
rnacentral:rRNA from 1 species